rnacentral:lncRNA from 1 species
UGUAAAGCAGCUCUGUUCAUAUACAAAUAGGUGUGGUAUUCAAAUUAAGACAAAGUGAGCUUUAAUAUGCCUAAGCUUCACCAAUAUUGCAGACUUGAGCAAGCUAGAAACAUGUUGACCCGAAGUAGCUAGUCUGGUUCCUUACCAACCCUACAUGUUAAAAUGUUGUGGACACAGUCAUGUUUAAGCACCGAUCACGCGAUUUUAUUAACAAUGUGACUCCAUGACCAAUGUAGGUCGACAGAUGGCAAAAUAAAUUCAAACAUAAAUUUCUCAUAGCUGAGGCCUGAGGAAAGGCAUGCAAGGUUCACCCAUACAUCCAUCCUAUUCUAAUUACGACACCAUCGGAAUCUCCUUGGGUUAUUGCAGCCAUUUUGCGCGAUAUCAAAAUUUUACAUGGCCAACUGAUUGAUGUAUACAUUAUUUUCCAAUUAAUUUUCUCGAUUUUUUGUCGAAUAAUGGAUUAAGUAAAGUAUGAAAUUUAACAAAUAGACAAAGCACACAUCUAAAUCAACAUGAAAAUAGACAUACAACAAAGCAUCAAACCACAAUAACAAGAAAUUGGAAAAAAAAAAAAAAAAAAAAAAUUAAUGAAAAGAAGGGAACUCACACGACUGCUCCAAUAACCAAAGGCAGCGAUAGAAACCUUCUUCUAAACAUUUCUUCCCAACAGAAAGACUUCCUUCUUCUUCUUUCUUCUUUCUUCUUUCUUCUUGCUUGCUUGUUGGAAACUUGGAAUGAACUUUAGCUUAGGUUUCCGGCCG